AUUGAACGCUGGCGGCAGGCUUAACACAUGCAAGUCGAACGAGUGGCGGACGGGUGAGUAAUGCUUGGGAAUCUGGCUGAUGGAGGGGGAUAACGAAGGGAAACUGUCGCUAAUACCGCGUACCAUAGGCUGAGCCCAGAGGUGAUUAGGUAGGUGGUGGGGUAAUGGCCAACCAAGCCGACGAUCCCUAGCUGGUCUGAGAGGAUGACCAGCCACAACGGGACUUAGACACUGCCCGGACGCCUACGGUAGGCAGCAGUGGGGAAUAUUGCGCAAGGGGGGCAAGCUGAUGCAGCCAUGCCGCGUGAAUGAAGAAGGCCUUCGGGUUGUAAAGUUCUUUCGGUGACGAGGCGUUAAUCACAGAAGAAGCACCGGCUAACUCCGUGCCAGCCGCCGCGGUAAUUC
rnacentral:rRNA from 1 species